rnacentral:piRNA from 1 species
UGGGAGAUGUUUCUAGGAUCUUCAUAGUUC